UCAGUCAUGACACAGACAUGACAUUACAUUACACGUCGUUACUUUCAUAAGUUACUUAAAAAGUUUAACAACAGAGAUUGGAUAACAAGUUAACUGUUUUUACGUAAUAGAUAAAACAAUCUUAAGCCAUGCUUUAGCUGAUGUUUCUUACUGCAUCCUUGACCGCUUGACAAUGUUUUCAGAUAAUUUCAGCCGAAGUUUUCAUGUACCUGGCCAACUAGGUGCUCAUGACAUUAGAAAUGAAAUGGUCUAAUCUAAUAAUGCAAGCUCACAACCUGUCUUCUGAAGCAAAAUAAUUUUUGUUGCAAGUUGUAGAUCUUCAAGAUAUUUAUGCCUUCGCCAGAUCCAAUUCUUUGCUGCUAUCUAUUUUGGGUACAACAGCGAGAAAAUGCAGCUACUCAAGAUUAUGUGGUUAAUCCCUCUCCAAUGUUCUAGUUGCUUGGAAACCGACGAGAGAUUGCUGGAAUUGAAGACUGAUAAUUUGGUCGGUCCAGAUACUAUCUCUGGGGGCCGUAGACAAUUCCAACAGCAUGUGCGAGUUUUAACAAAGCAAUGCGUAGGCCAUGCGCUACCCAAUGAGACAAAAAGCGAUGUUUAAUUUGUGUGGAAUUAGAAAUUUUUUUUAAAAUUAGUUCUUGAAUAAGUAAAAUUCUUAACUGACAAAGAUUUCGGCCAAAAUGAAUCAUCGCUUUUUGUGUCAUUAGGUAAAGAGUUGCUUGCUCAUACUCGUGUAAAAAAAGACAAGAUUAACUUAAUCCACAAUUCAUAAAUUAUUUCAGUGCUUUUAAAUAAAUAAAGGGAUU